CCUACGGGAGGCAGCAGUGGGGAAUAUUGCACAAUGGGGGAAACCCUGAUGCAGCGACGCUGCGUGAGUGAAGAAGUAUUUCGGUAUGUAAAGCUCUAUCAGCAGGGAAGAAAAUGCCGGUACCUGACUAAGCAGCCCUGGCUAACUACGUGCCAGCAGCCGCGGUAAUACGUAGGGGGCAAGCGUUAUCCGGAUUUACUGGGUGUAAAGGGAGCGUAGACGGCAGCACAAGUCUGGAGUGAAAGGCCGGGGCUUAACCCCGGAACUGCUUUGGAAACUGUGCAGCUAGAGUGCAGGAGAGGUAAGUGGAAUUCCUAGUGUAGCGGUGAAAUGCGUAGAUAUUAGGAGGAACACCAGUGGCGAAGGCGGCUUACUGGACUGUAACUGACGUUGAGGCUCGAAAGCGUGGGGAGCAAACAGGAUUAGAUACCCUUGUAGUC
rnacentral:rRNA from 1 species